GUGCAGCGCGCGUAUACGUAGGGUGCGGGCGUGUCCGGAAUUACUGGGCGUAAAGGGCUCGUAGGUGGUUUGUCGCGUCGUCUGUGAAAUUCCGGGGCUUAACUCCGGGCGUGCAGGCGAUACGGGCAUAACUUGAGUACUGUAGGGGUAACUGGAAUUCCUGGUGUAGCGGUGAAAUGCGCAGAUAUCAGGAGGAACACCGAUGGCGAAGGCAGGUUACUGGGCAGUUACUGACGCUGAGGAGCGAAAGCAUGGGUAGCGAACAGGAUUAGAUACCCUGGUAGUCCAUGCCGUAAACGGUGGGCGCUAGGUGUGAGGGUCUUUUCACGACUUUCGUGCCGUAGCUAACGCAUUAAGCGCCCCGCCUGGGGAGUACGGCCGCAAGGCUAAAACUCAAAGGAAUUGACGGGGGCCCGCACAAGCGGCGGAGCAUGUGGAUUAAUUCGAUGCAACGCGAAGAACCUUACCUGGGCUUGACAUACACCGGAUCGGGCUAGAGAUAGUCUUUCCCUUUGUGGCUGGUGUACAGGUGGUGCAUGGUUGUCGUCAGCUCGUGUCGUGAGAUGUUGGGUUAAGUCCCGCAACGAGCGCAACCCUUGUCUUAUGUUGCCAGCAUUUGGUUGGGGACUCAUGAGAGACUGCCGGGGUCAACUCGGAGGAAGGUGGGGAUGACGUCAAAUCAUCAUGCCCCUUAUGUCCAGGGCUUCACACAUGCUACAAUGGUCGGUACAACGCGCAGCGACAAUGUGAGGUGGAGCGAAUCGCUGAAAGUCGGCCUUAGUUCGGAUUGGGGUCUGCAACUCGACCCCAUGAAGUCGGAGUCGCUAGUAAUCGCAGAUCAGCAAUGCCGCGGUGAAUACGUUCCCGGGUCUUGCACUCACCGCCCGU
rnacentral:rRNA from 1 species